GCUGAUAAGAAGUGGAUCACGUUAUUUGAUUUCUAUUAAUGAAUUUUGUAAAUACACACAUUGAGUUAUACAAAAGUAAAAUAAUAAAAAAAUGAAAUAUAAGACAUAUUGAGUAAUUAAUAUUACUAAGUAAAUAAAUAAAAGAAAAAAAAGAUCAUGGGCCAAGGGCCCGAAGCAAAAUAGAUUGAGAGGGGGAGGGGGUCUGAUUUAGGUUUUUCUUUUUUAGGUUUGGGGAUUUUGAGAGGAGAGGUGAGAAGAAGAAAGAAAGUGAGGAGAUGAGGGAGAAUCGGGGAUCCUCUCUCCGGCGACGGCUACUAACACUGUUCCGGCAACGAGUCCAUGAGGAGCUUUUCAUAUCAUCAUCUCUUCCUCAGCAGCGACGAUGACGCCCUGUGGUGCGGAGAUGGCGGCGACUCGGUGGCGUUUUUUCUUUCCAUCUCGGCUUGGGGGGUUUAAUGCCAUUUCUAUUUAGGUGGAAAGAGAUGACAUAUGUGAUGAUAUAUGUGCACCAAAAUGAGGGGAGUCUUCCCAUUAAAGUGUUUAGCUGAGUUAAGGGGGAUAUGUUUUUUUUCUUUUUUUCAAAAGCUGAAUGUGGUCUCAUUUAAGGCCAAAUGAAGCUUAGUUGUAGCACCUAAAAAGUUAUGGCUGAAAUUAGGCAUAUUGUAGUAUUUAUUACGACAUUCAUUUGAAUUGAUUGGCAUUAUUGCAGUGUUAUUACUGCCUUAAUCACAUUGAUCAGUGUUAUUACUAUCUUAAUUGUAUUGAUUUGCAUUACCGCAGUUUGUUAUUGCAUACUGUAAAUUUGGAUGUACUUUAUUACGAAAUGUUGUACAAUUAAUCAAUAUUCUUAAUUUUAGCAUAAGACC